UCCUAGUCCUAGCCAAGGAGUUUUCUCUAGAGCCCUUCUCAUUGUGUGCUCUACAUUUCCCCCUCCUCCUCCCUGUGUUAGCUGGAGUCCAUCUGCUCCAUCCAGUCCACUGCAGCUCAGGGAAUCUCACGUCAUUUCCAUCUCAGCUGAGAUGUGCCUGAGCUGCAGACAGUUGGAUGGAGAUGCCUCUGUUUGUUUCCCAGUGUGGGAGGAGGGGAUGAAUCUUCUCAACUUUGCCCUAGUUUCUUUAAAAAAAAAUGGCUGACAGUGAGAGGUGACUGUGGCAGUGGACCUGGUGAUGGCUAUCUUGGCCAGAUGCCCCUCACCCUGCUCUGCUGUGCAGCCUUGUAGGGCUCUGACCCUGCUUCCCACGGCAAUAGGUUAUUGUGUCAGAUCUGGGUAGCUGUGACAUCACUGCUGCUAUGGUUCCAUCACCAAAGGGCAGUCACAGUCAAGACAGCUCUCCAUCCCUGCCAGGAUGGCGCAGGCAGGGCAACCUCUUUGCUGUCUUUACUGCCAGCAUUGCUUAGGGUGUGAUGAGACAGAUAGACAGGCAGCCUCCAAGGAGAAGGAAGAGUUUCUGAAGCUCCUGUUACUCUGUCAAUUGAGCAUAAAGAAACAUUAUGGCAUCUGAACCAUGCCUCAUCACCUGCACACAGAACCUCAGAGCUGAGCAAAGAUGGCCAGUAGCUCUCAGUCAACAGGAGUCAGGAGCAAGAGAGCAGAAACAAUUUGAAUAAAUGGAAAAUCAAGAGGAGGAUGAAACUCACAAUUUAUAUUGUGACAGUAUUUCUUUCAUCAAAGCAAAGAAAAUGUUGAUCUAUAGCAGCUGUGCUAGGUUCAGGAAUACAGUGUCCAUUGUGAAGUCUUUCUGAAUGAUUAUUACCCAAAAUCAGAGCACUUUGCUUCCCCACCCAUGUUUCUGCAUGGAAAAGAUGCAUCAUUAAUGAUUACCUAUUUUGUCUUUUCAGGUGACCUUUCUCCAAAAGCCAUUAUUUUCAUCACUUUCAUGUGAAAUCCAUCAAAAUUCUCCUGUCUUGCUAAUUCCUGUGAGGCCUCCUUAGGUCUCACAGCUGGAUGGCUAAAGCAUCAACCUGUUCCUUGACCUUAGCAUCCAUUUUACUUUUAAAACUUCCUGCGCACAAGCAAGCAGUUCUUCAGACUGGCAAACCAGGCAGAAAAGCUAGCUUUUAAGGAACUUCACAACACUUGCCAUGUGUUUCGUUUCCAUCAAAUAUCACCAGACUUGUCCAGCUGCUGUCUCCUGGGUUAAUGGCCAGUACCUUCCCCCUUCAGGUGUCUCACUUAGCUUUUCCCUGAGAAAACAGGGCAGCCAACAGACCUGCUGGGAUCUGAAUCCUGAACUACUUUGGACGUUGAUCUUUCCAACACUGCAUGAAUUUUUAAAAAUAGUUACUGAAAGUUCAACUAAAGAUUUAUUAUUUUUUUAAUUAGUUAGACCUUAGGAAGAAAAAAGGAGAGACUCUGACAGAUCCUUGGUCCCAGAGCUGCUUAUCAGCAUGUACAGUAAACAGGGAAAAUAUCAUAAAUAUUACAUUUUCUCUCAAGAUAAGGGAUUUCAGAAUGAAGGAUUGCUUCCCAACAGCAAACUUCAGGGCAAUGUCAUGGAAAUGGGUCACAGAUUGCUGGAAUGCAAAAUCCAUGCGGGUCUUCCCAGAAGCAACAGUCUCUCCUGUUCCACACAGCUCUCCUCUGCCUCCCUGGUGGUUCCACUUCUAUGGUUGUGAUCAGUGUGGACAGUCAAGGAUGCAGCCUGGAGAGCUCUGCAUCAGCACCUGCAGCAGUGACUUUUUGGAAAGGAGUGGAGCUCCAUUUUUCU